GCCGAAGUGGCGGAACUGGUAGACGCGCUAGGUUCAGGGUCUAGUUGCCGUACGGCAGUGGGAGUUCGAGUCUCCCCUUCGGCA
rnacentral:tRNA from 1 species